rnacentral:rRNA from 1 species
AUUGAACGCUAGCGGGAUGCCUUACACAUGCAAGUCGAACGGCAGCGCGGACUUCGGUCUGGCGGCGAGUGGCGAACGGGUGAGUAAUGUAUCGGAGCGUGCCCAGUAGCGGGGGAUAACUACUCGAAAGAGUAGCUAACACCGCAUACGCCCUACGGGGGAAAGGGGGGGAUCGCAAGACCUCUCACUAUUGGAGCGGCCGAUAUCGGAUUAGCUAGUUGGUGAGGUAAAGGCUCACCAAGGCGACGGUCCGUAGCUGGUUUGAGAGGACGACUAGGCACACUGAGACUGAGACAAGGCCCAGACUCGUUCGGGAGGCAGCAGUGGGAAUUUUGGACAAUGGGGGAUACCCUGAUCCAGCCAUUCCGCGUGUGCGAUGAAGUCCUUCGGUUUGUAAAGCACUUUUGGCAGGAAAGAAAUCGCAUCAAUUAAUACUUGGUGUGGAUGACGGUACCUGAAGAAUAAGCACCGGCUAACUACGUGCCAGCCGCCGCCGUAA